CUUGCUGCGAUGCUGACGAGCGGCGGACGGGUGAGUAAUGCAUAGGAAUCUGCCCGAUAGUGGGGGAUAACCUGGGGAAACCCAGGCUAAUACCGCAUACGUCCUACGGGAGAAAGGGGGCUCCCGCUCCCGCUUUGGGAUGAGCCUAUGUCUGAUUAGCUUGUUGGUGAGGUAACGGCUCACCAAGGCCACGAUCCGUAUCUGGUCUGAGAGGAUGAUCAUCCUCAUCGGGACUGAGACACGGCCCGAACUCCUACUCCAGGCAGCGGUGGGGAAUAUUGGACAAUGGGGGAGACCCUGAUCCUGCCAUGCCGCGUGUGUGAAGAAGGCCCUCGGGUUGUAAAGCACUUUCACCGAGGAAGAACGCCUAACGGUUAAUACCCGCUAGGAAAGACAUCACUCGCAGAAGAAGCACCGGCUAACUCCGUGCCAGCAGCCGCGGUAAUACGGAGGGUGCAAGCGUUAAUCGGAAUUACUGGGCGUAAAGCGCGCGUAGGUGGCUUGAUAAUCCGGUUGUGAAAGCCCCGGGCUCAACCUGGGAACGGCAUCCGGAACUGUCAAGCUAGAGUGCAGGAGAGGAAGGUAGAAUUCCCGGUGUAGCGGUGAAAUGCGUAGAGAUCGGGAGGAAUACCAGUGGCGAAGGCGGGCCUUCUGGACUGACACUGACACUGAGGUGCGAAAGCGUGGGUAGCAAACAGGAUUAGAUACCCUGGUAGUCCACGCGGUAAACGAUGUCAGACUCAGCCGUUGGGUGCCUAGCGCACUAUGUGGCGAAGUUAACGCGAUAAGUCGACCGCCUGGGGAGUACGGCCGCAAGGUUAAAACUCAAAUGAAUUGACGGGGGCCCGCACAAGCGGUGGAGCAUGUGGUUUAAUUCGAUGCAACGCGAAGAACCUUACUUACUCUUGACAUCAUGCGAAUUUGGUAGAGAUACCUUAGUCCCUUCGGGAAUGCAGAGACAGGUGCUGCAUGGCUGUCUUCAGCUCGUGUUGUGAAAUGUUGGGUUAAGUCCCGUAACGAGCGCAACCCUUGUCCUUAUUUGCCAGCGUGUAAUGGCGGGAACUCUAAGGAGACUGCCGGUGACAAACCGGAGGAAGGUGGGGGAGAUGUCAAGUCAUCAUGGCCCUUACGAGUAGGGCUACACACGUGCUACAAUGGUCGGUACAAAGGGUUGCCAACUCGCGAGAGUGAGCC
rnacentral:rRNA from 1 species